UACGAAGGGGGCUAGCGUUGCUCGGAAUCACUGGGCGUAAAGCGCACGUAGGCGGCUUUUAAGUCAGGGGUGAAAUCCUGGAGCUCAACUCCAGAACUGCCUUUGAUACUGAGAGCUUGAGUCCGGGAGAGGUGAGUGGAACUGCGAGUGUAGAGGUGAAAUUCGUAGAUAUUCGCAAGAACACCAGUGGCGAAGGCGGCUCACUGGCCCGGUACUGACGCUGAGGUGCGAAAGCGUGGGGAGCAACAGG
rnacentral:rRNA from 1 species